rnacentral:lncRNA from 1 species
UCUCCUAGACUAGGGACUGUGUUUCAUCUCUGUGGCCUCAGUGUCAGAACAAUGUUCCCUUAAUUAAUGCUUUCAGAAUCUCCUGUGCACAGAACAGAAUCUUAUAUGUGUCAGAUUCUGUUCUGGGUGCUUGGGAUACAGAACAGUGAAGAAAAUCAGCAAAGGUCCCUGCCCUAGCGGAGUGUGCAUUCUAGCAGAGGCAGACUAAAUAACCAAAUCACAUAGUAUGCUGGAAGGUAACAAGUUCUUGAGGAUAAAAAGAAAAAAAAAUAGAGUAGGAUAAAAGGAAGCAACCAGGUGAAAAAGUCAGAACAUUUUGUUGGAUCGGUUGUGAAAUUCAUGAAAGAGCAGCAAAUUCAUGCUGGUGAAAAUCUUGCGGUGAAUGCAUCUGACAUCCUGCUGCAAAAAGAAGAGGGAAGUUCUGAAGUGUGGAGGUCCGGAUUCAAAAGGUACCAGCGUCCUUGAUUUUCCAGCUUCAAAGAGAGCUGCCUCUGAAAUAGGGGGACGUUCACACCUGCUUUGCUGCAGAGAUUUCUGCCUUCCUGGCUGCAGACUCAACAAGACAACAACACGUCUGUGGACAUUUUCAAGGCCAUAUUUAUAUACCAGGCAUGGGAAGCUUCUCUUCCACCCUUUCUUCCUAAAUGAAAAUGAAAAGGUUAGUGUGCCCUGUGAGGAUUCAGCAAUGAACCUGAUUUAA